CGAGGCUCCCACCUGCGCUCAGCGCUUGGUAGCUAGGAGGGAAUGGGAGGAUGCUUGCGGGGUAGGGAGGCGAGGGUUGGAAAUUGGCAGAAUGAGAACUGGGGAAACUAGUCUGAGACGCAGCCCUGCUUGUCCCCCUUCUUCAUUCACCCCCAUGUUGAGGGCCUUGGCUUUUGCAUAAUGUGGGAGCUCCUGGAGAGGAGGGUGCUUCCCAGCAGCUCCUGUUCGACCCCCAGCCCCGGGCCAAGGGCACAGAGAGAGAACACCCUUUAAAAAAAUGUAUUUAAAGAGGCUGGUUCCUAUCCAUCCGACUGGAGGCAUCUCAGUGCAAGAGCAAAGCUAAGUCCUGCACAUACACCUCCCCUCCUCCUCCUCCUCCUCCUCC
rnacentral:lncRNA from 1 species